UACGUAGGGGGCAAGCGUUGUCCGGAAUCAUUGGGCGUAAAGCGCGUGUAGGCGGCCAUGUAAGUCCGUUCUGAAAGCCCGGGGCUCAACCCCGGGAGGCGGAUGGAUACUGCAUGGCUCGAGUACGGAAGAGGCGAGUGGAAUUCCCGGUGUAGCGGUGAAAUGCGCAGAUAUCGGGAGGAACAUCUGUGGCGAAGGCGGCCAUCUGGACCAGCACUGACACUGAGGCACGAAAGCGUGGGGAGCAAACAGG
rnacentral:rRNA from 1 species